GACGAACGCUGGCGGCGUGGAUUAGGCAUGCAAGUCGAACGGUAUCAUCCUUUCGGGGGUGAGAGAGUGGCGAACUGGUGAGUAACACGUAGGUUAUCUACCCUCAAGACGGGGACAACCCAGGGAAACUUGGGCUAAUACCGGAUGUGAGCAACUUUUAGUUGUUUGAAAGGUGGCGUAAGCUGUCGCUUGGGGAUGAGCCUGCGUCCUAUUAGUUAGUUGGUGAGGUAACGGCUCACCUAGGCAAUGAUAGGUAGGCGGCCUUAACGGGUGGUCGCCCACACUGGGAUUGAGAUACGGCCCAGACUCCUACGGGAGGCAGCAGUCGAGAAUAGUCUACAAUGGUCGGAAGACUGAUAGUGCGACGCCGCGUGAACGAUGAAUCCCUUCGGGGUGUAAAGUUCUUUUAUAUGUGAGCAGUGCUUCUUAUAUUAACAGUAUGGGGAAGAGGUAUUAGCAUAUGAAUAAGCAACGGCUAACUCCGUGCCAGCAGCCGCGGUAAGCUCG
rnacentral:rRNA from 1 species